GUUCACUUUUUGCUCCCUGCUCUCUCUACUGUGAUUUCAACUGAAAUUUUUGAUCCUAUGCGACAUGGUUACUCACUACAUCCGUGGAAUUUGGCAUACCAUUCAGCCCUAAACCUGUGUUUCACUGAAGGAGCAGUGAAGUUUGACACUGGCAUUUCUGUUGUUGCUGACAGUGAUGAUGUGCUUCUCUCUUAAGCCUGAAAGUUACACCCAAGACCUUGAUCAUGAAGAUAAUGAGCAGACUGACAACAAUCAAGGUAUUGCCAAGUAAAACAAUGACCAUAACAGUGUCUCUAACUGGGUACUGAAAGAUCUUAUAGCAGACACCUGGUUCAAGAGCUGAGGGCCAACUGAAAACAUAGGGAACCUGUAACUAUGAGUCAACCAUCUUACCUCAUAAACAGUGAGCAGCUCUACAGACCCUGGAGUACGUCUACAUGGCACCUGGCUGUAUGACAGCAUUGCCUCUUGAGGUUAUGCCCAUCACAUCUUGUCAAAAGCUGCCCUGUCAAUGCAGAUACUUGAUAAGUGAUGGAAUAACUAUACAUGUGGACUUCAAAGGAGGUGCUAUGGGAGGAGCAGCUCUUUUAGAACAAGAACCCAUGUGCAAAAUCCUGUUACAUCUGAAGAGCAGCCAAAGAAGCCUCUCACCAAUGAUGUGUGUGAAGAUAGUCUUUAACUGGCAAAGGGACACAACAGAUGCUUUUCAAUUCCAUUAAACUCUAUGCAUUAAAUCCUGCUUCUCAACGUGGUGCCAAUGGCCUGGAACUGAAAGUAAACCAUUUUGUUGUAAGUUGUAUUCUUUCUAUUUCAAUUGACUGAUUAGAU
ensembl:lncRNA